GAUGAACGCUGGCGGCGUGCCUCAAACAUGCAAGUCGAGCGGGGCUAUGUAAUAUCGCAAGGUAGAACAUAGCCUAGCGGCGAACGGGUGAGUAACACGUGGGUAACCUGCCUGGAAGACAGGGAUAACGAUUCGAAAGGGUCGCUAAUACCUGAUAAUAUCCUUUCAUCGCAUGGUGAUAGGAAGAAAGGGGAAACCCGCCUUCAGAUGGGCCCGCGUCCCAUCAGCUAGGUUGGCAAGGUAAAGGCUUACCAAGGCGACGACGGGUAGCCGGUCUGAGAGGAUGUACGGCCACACUGGGACUGAGAUACGGCCCAGACUCCUACGGGAGGCAGCAGUUGGGAAUCUUAGGCAAUGGACGAAAGUCUGACCUAGCGACGCCGCGUGAGGGAAGAAGGCCUUCGGGUUGGUAAACCUCUGUCAUGGGGGAAGAAGUAAGGUGACGGUACCCAACGAGGAAGCCCCUGCUAACUACGUGCCAGCAGCCGCGGUAAACUAUACUCGUA
rnacentral:rRNA from 1 species